rnacentral:rRNA from 1 species
AAAACAUAGCUUAAUGUAUUUAUAUUAAGUGACUUCUGCCCAGUGAUAUUUUAUAUUUAACGGCCGCAGUACCUUGACUGUGCUAAGGUAGCGUAAUAAUUUGGCUUUUAAUUGGAGUCGGGAAUGAAAGGGGAAACGGGGAAUAGUUGUCUUUUAUAAGAUUCUUAAAAUUUACUUAUUGGGUGAAAAUUCCCAUUUUAAUAUAUUAGACGAGAAGACCCUUAGAAUUUUAACUAUAUGUUUUUGUUGGGGCGACAGAGUUACAAAUAACUUACUUACUUUAUAUAGACAAGCCGAGAUUAUGUAUGAAUAAAUUACCUGAGGGAUAACAGCAUAAUUUUUUAAAAGAUUGUGACCUCGAUGUUGGAUUAGGGUAAAAUAUGGUUAGCAAUUAUAUUUUUUGGUUCUGUUCGAACUACCACCCUACAUGAUCU